rnacentral:rRNA from 1 species
GCAGUCAAGGGGAAAGUUUUGCUUCGGCGAGAUGAGUAUACUGGCGGACGGGUGAGUAACGCGUAGGCAACCUACCCAUAAGAGAGGGAGAACCCAGCGAAAGUUGGACUAAUACCUUAUAAUACUAUUAUGUUGCAUGACAGAAUAGUCAAAGGGUGCCAAUUUAUUGGUAUUGCUUAUGGAUGGGCCUGCGUUCCAUUACUUAGUUGGUAAGGUAACGGCUUACCAAGGCAACGAUGGAUAGCUGGUUUGAGAGAGCGAUCAGCCACACUGGAACUGAGAUACGGCCCAGACUCCUACGGGAGGCAGCAGUGAGGAAUAUUGCGCAAUGGGCGAAAGCCUGACGCAGCAACGCCGCGUGGGGGAUGAAGCUUUAUGGAGUGUAAACCCCUGUAAGCAGGGACGAAAGUUACCUAUACGAACAGGAUGGGUAUUUGACGGUACCUGCACAGGAAGCUCCGGCUAACUCCGUGCCAUCAGCCGCGGUAAUACGGGGGGAGCAAGCGUUGUCCGGAAUUACUGGGCGUAAAGGGCGUGUAGGCGGUAUUGUAAGUCAAAUGUAAAAGGCUACGGCUUAACCGUAUAUUGUCAUUUGAAACUACACUACUUGAGUGCGAGAGAGGGUAUGGGAAUUCCCAGUGUAUCGGUGAAAUGCGUAUAUAUUGCGAACAACACCAGUAGCGAAGGCGGCUACCUGCCUCGACACUGACGCUAAUGCGCGAAAGCGUGUG